GGAAAUAGCUCAGUGGUGGAGCAUGUGCCUACCAUGCAUGAGGCCCAGGGUUAAAUUCCCAGUACUG
rnacentral:tRNA from 1 species